UUCCUUUUUUUUUUUUUUUUUACUGCGCACGCUUCUUUUUUUUAAUGCACGCUUCUUCUUUUUAUUUUUAUGCAUUCCACUCAUGCUCCUCUACCCUACCUCUCUUUCUCUUUUUCCUUUUCAUCAUGACCACCACUACCGUUUGCCUCCCCAACGUCUCUCUUUCUGCUCCUCACCCGCUCCUCUCUCUCCUCAAAUUUCCCCAUAAAAAGAGGACGUUUCUACCUUCUUUGGGGGAGGGAUUGGGAUGAGCAAAAAAAAACCUAACAAAACAAGAUCGGGCAGUGGCGAAAGAAAAGAGAAAAAACAGACCGAAAAAUCCCCCCUCAAAACAGAUUGAACACGAUCUGAAAUUCCCAAAAAUCCCCCUACAAACACAGGUUUUAAUCGCCUUCAAUUUCCCCAGAAAAAGAACAGCCUUCAUUAUUUUUUUUUUUUUUUGGGAAACAUUUCUUGAAAUUCAACCGAAAGGAGGGAUUGAACACUGAUUGGGGAGAUUAUUGUAUACGGAGUAUUUUGUCACCGAGCCUCAAGUUUCUUUUAUCCUGGUCCUGAUUUUGUUUAAAAUCAGAAAAAAAAAAACACCUUUUGUUGAAAACAUAAGAUUUGUGACAAAAAAUUAAGUUUUCACAAUUCAAUUAACUUUCGUCGCUGCUCGACAAAAGAACUUUAAUUACAACAAAGACAUUUUAACUUUCGAUUCGAGCUUUGAAUCUGUCCAUACGAGAGGGUAGAUUCGAGGCUUCGACGCUCAGUUCACUGCACACACAAAAGGUAAACCUCGAUACAUUUAUCGCUUCUAGCCUUUGGUUCCUGCUUGAGUUAAAUUUUAGUUGAUUCUGCUAUUUUGCUAGUUAUGUAGUUUCUUUGUCGUCACAUUGUUUGUUUGACGUUUGGGAGCUGUUAGGAUAGAAUAACAAUUGCUAAUAGACAAAUUUGAAAGACAUAUACUGUAGCUUGGAUGUUUAGACUGAGUUUCAGGAUUUAAAACCUAUUUAGAGUCGAAUAUACAUAGGAUAUACCGUGGGUAUACAUGCGAUAUACCUCUUAUAUACACACCUUGGUGUGUAUAUCUUAGGUAUACCGUGUAUAAGGUUAAGACAGAUCGGUAUUGUCUCUCUUUUACUCUGUUUGUUCAAAUAAUAUGCCCCGGGUAUAAAUAUAAUCCGCUCGGUUUAGAUACGAUGAAACGGUUGUAUGAUAUGUCGGUAUUGUUUACUGAUUUGAUUUAGUCUAUGGUUUCUGUUCUACGAACAAUCCUAUUAGCAACCAUGUAUCAGGCCUAGUUCCAUUUUUAGUCUGAUUAACAUGUUUAUGUGAAAAUAAACAUGUCUUGAACAUAAUCCCUGCUAUACCUAUGUUUAAAAUAGCCAUCCUGUUUGGUAUAUGUUGCUGCCCCCAUAUAAUUUGAACGCAUAUUAACGUCUUCUCUUUCUGUACACAAUGCGAUUCUCAUUGACAUUCUGGGAUCAUGAAUUUUCACCAAACUGGAACAAAAUUGUUUUUCUCAUUAUCGGCACCAUCUGUUUUCACAUUCUACACUCUCAUGCAACUCAUAUUGUGCUUUGUUGAGCAUAUUAUAUAUCUGCAUCUACUCAUCUUUAUAUGCUAAGUAUACUUGUAUCGAUUAUAUAUGUGUGUACAUGACAGGUAUACUUUAGCCUAUACAUCUUCAUAGAUAUGUAUACAUGAGAUACACUUUGAAUAUACAUAUUAUAUACAUAAUCUACUGAUUUGUUUUUUUUUUUUUUUUUUUUAUAUUUUUCAUGUUUAAUCUUAUCCGUUGAGUAGAUACUAAUCCUUUUCCUUUAAUUUUUUUUUUGCAUGAUAUCUCGCAUACGAGUCCAAACGACUCGUCAUCUCCCGCAUUCGGCUUCGGGCUAAAAGCCCAACAUGAAAUUCUCUCCCUAUCAUCCCAAUCCGCAGCCAAACAAGAAAACAAAAUCUGGGCCAAAACCCAAUAGACAAGACAGCCCACAACAGCAAUAUAGAGAAAAUUUAUUGGGCCUAAGCCCAAUAAACGUGAACAGUUCAGCUGGGCCUUAAUAAAUGGGCCAAACCCAUUUACCCUUUUUACCCUCUUCCUUAUUUUAUUUUGUGUAUUUUUAUUUGUUUUGUAUGACUAACAUCUUACCUUAUUUUAUUUUUCUAACUUACAUGAAUUUAGCAAAUUAGUGGGGCUUAGUUUAAUAAUGGGUAAUUAAUUUAAGGACGAUCAAUCAAUCCCAUAAGAUUCGCUUGUUUUCUUGCUAUCGAUUUUCAAAAUUACGUCUUUAUAAUAUUUCAAAAGAAAAAAUUAAAAUGUAUGUUCUAUAUUCGUUCUUGUUCUAUAGUUCAAAUUACAAACAAUUUUCUAGACUCACGUUGUAAUGCAACAUAUUUUCCGAUAGAUGUAAAUGUGAAUUCAAGUAUAUUUUGUGAAUACAUUUUCAAGAAUCAUGCAUAUUUUAAUUAAAGAGAGCUAACAAAAGAGAAAGAAAACUUAUUUCUUUUUGCGUCCUAUUUACAAAAAAUAAGUAUAGAUUUUCCUACAUUGCAGUACUCAUACAAUGUAACUUUUUAUCCAAAGUUCACGUUUAUUGAAUCUCGUCUACAAGUAUUAUUUUAAACAACAUUAUUUUAUACUUUCGUUUAAAAUCUUGACAACGUUUAAAAUAACAUUAGAAGUAUUCUUUUAUACAAAUUAUUAUCUUCUACAAAUCCUAUUUUAAACAACAUUCUUAUCUGUAAUUUUAGCUAUAUUUACAAAACUACUUUCUUUUUCUAUAAUACUAUAUUUACACUUAGCCUAACUAAAUUUUAGUCCGGUCAGUUAACCAUUGUUAAUGGGUCUUCAAGAGUGCCUAAUACCUUCCCUUUAGACUAAUUGAACCCUUACCUAGAAUCUCAAGUUUCGCAGACUUAAACAGAGCUAACUUUAGAAAAUAACUUUAAUAAACUUUAGGUGUCCUAAUUCACCAUAAAUAAUUAGGUGGCGACUCCUUAAAACACAAACAAAAACAGGGAAUCUCCAAUACGUCGUACUUCUAAUUUUAACCUCCGCGAGUAAAAAUGGGGUGUGACACUUAGUACUUUGUUACUUGGCGGUCUGUUUAUAUUAAAUAACGUCAUAGAGCUCCCAGCAUGUAGUUUCAAGUCUUCAACUAUUCAAAUCCUGGAUCUACUUUCUCACUUAUUUCACGACCUCGGCAAUAUAUGAAGUUUACAUGAAUAUUGUGAUCAAUUGCGACAAGGCAGACUUUACUCACCAAAAUCGCAACAAGAGAGACAUAACAUACUUACUGGUCUUCAAGUGACAAGUACAAGACAAUUUAAUCCAAAACUGCUGGCCAAGAAGAGUCGACGCGGCAUACAUUUCAGGUAACUUCGAUCCGAAUGGGAAUUACCAUAUCAGAAUUUAUGAAUGUUGACGAGGUAUUAGAACAGAAUGAUGCUGAUGAUAGUUAUCCCAGUAUGAAGUUGAUACAAAAUGGAAAGUUUACCCAUGAUUGGAGCCCUGCUAAUACUAUUGGGAUCCAACCAGGGAGAGACACGGCAUAGCAACUAUCCAUGAGUGUUUAUGGUCUAUUGUGGUGUCGCGAGUCUCUUCCCCAUCUCUGUUUCCUCUUUAAAUAGAGGUUCACAUAUUAUUAGCAGGAAUUUUUGCUAUCUAAUGUCUUCACAGUCAUAUAUUUUUCUUUAUGUUAAUCUCUCUUUUAGUUUGCAUUUGCAGAAGACAUUGACUGGAUUGUUUUACACCUGUUAAUAGUAGUUCAAACAAGAUAAUGGCCGUCUCCUAGAACUCACUCAGGAUAUUUCAUGACCUCGAAAUACGUGAAGUUUACAUGAGUUUGUGAUCAGUUUCCGACAAAGCAGAACGUACUGACUAAAGGUGCAACAAGAGAAGCACAACAAACUGACUGGUCUUCUAAUGACAAGUACAAGACACUUCAAAUAAUCGACAAUGGUUGCAUCUUUCUCUUGGGAUAAGAGGUGACGUGGUCAGACAACUUCGAUCGGAAUGGGGAUUCACCAGAUGAACAUUUUUGAAUCUUGACGAGGAAUUUGAGAAGAACGUAGUCAUCCCAGUAACCGUACUGACUGUUACCCAUGAUUGGAGCCUGCUAAUACUGCUGAAUCUAACUAGGGAGACGCUAAUUAGCAACUAUUCAUGGAGUGCUUAUCGUCUAUUGAGGUGCUACUAGAGUCUUCAAAUAGAGGUGCUUCCCUGUCUCUUUACCUUCAAAUAGAGGGCUCACGCAUUUUAUCAAUGUCAGUAUUUUACUGGCAGGAACUCAAGCUAUAUAAUAUCUCAAGAGUCGUAUAUUUUUCUCUAUGCUAAUCUCUUAUUUUUAGUUGCAUUUGCGGAAGACAUUGUCUAGAUUGUUUUACAUCUGUUAAGGACUUGAGGUUAUUCAAACCAUGGCCGUCAUCUAGAACUCACUAAGUCAUCCCUUUAUGGGCGCUUCUUUUCAUUCAGGAGAGCAAAAAACUAUAUUGACAAUGACUAGGCAAUCAGAGUAACGUUGAUGGCACUAUAUGCCUCUAUUUUCUUUUUUGGUACCAACCCUGCUGGGCUUCUGGUAAUCGUGGUUAGUACAUUCCUGGUUUUGUUACUUGGCAGUCUAGCAAGUUUAUUCAAUUACGUCGUGGAGCUCCCAGCUUGUAUUGUCAAGUCUUCAACUAUUCAAAUUUCUUCAACUAUUCAAAUCCUUGAUCUACUUUCUCACUUGGGAUAUGUCCAUGACCUUGGAAGGUGAAGUUUACCUGAAUUUGCGAUCAAUUACGACAAGGCACACUUUACUGACUGAAACUUCAUCAAGAUAACAAACUUAGUUGUCUUCUAGUGAGAAGUACAAGGCAAUUUAUAAUCAUCCCUGUUUGCAAUUUUCUUUUGAUAUAAGAUUAGACGCUGCAAUUUUUAUACGACUUUGAUCUGAAUGGGGCAUAUCAAAAUUUCUGAAUCUUGACGAGGAAUUUGGGCAGAAUUAGGCUGAUGGUAGCUAACCCAGUAUGAAGAUCAUGCCAUACUGACAAUUACCCAGGAUUGGAGCCUGCUAAUACUGUUGAAUCCAACUAGGGAGGCACACUGCUCAGCAACUAUUGAUGGAGUGUUUUUCAGUCUAUUGAAGUGCCAUCGAGUCUUCCCUAUCUCUCUUCCUUCAAAAAGAGGUUCACAUAUUUUAUGAAUGCCACUAUUCUAUUGGCAGGAGCUUAAGCUAUAUAAUGUCUUAAGCAGUUAAGGGACACUGGUUAAAUUGUUUAUGCAAUGCCAUUUUUUAUGGUAGGACUUCGGAUUGUUCUUUUUCUCCUACUCCUGAAUUAAGUUUCGAGAACCAUAUACAGGAGGGUUAUGAUAUAUAUAUAUAUAUAUACACAUACACAUACAUACACACACACAUACAUGGCUGCCUCAAGAGAAUCCUAUACUUUUGUAGAUACUUUACCUUUUGGUAUACCUCUUUGUACACGGCCAGUUUGGCCAUGUUUAUGAAUGGAAAUAUAUUUACUUGAUCCAAAAAAAAAAAAAAAAAGUGAAUCCAACUCCAGUCUACCAUCCUCUUCCCAUAUCUUUUCCUUUCAAAUCUUGCAAACCUGACGUUGCUAUUUUCCUAUAUUUUCUCUAUGCUAAUUUCUCACCAUAAAUCGCAUUCCGGUAUGGUGCUAUAUCGACAAUGAAGAGAGACGAUCAGAGUAAUGAGGGGAGCACUAGCUUAAGAUUGGUUCAAACAGUUAUGAGACAAUUGGUUAAGCUGCAUUCACAGUAGUGUUUUUCAAGGUAGAACUUAGGGUUGUUCUUCAUUUGCAAGGCUUUCAGGGUAGAACUUUGGAUUGUCCUUUUUCUCUUAUCCUUGUAUAUUUAGUUUCAAGAACUAUAUACAGGUGUGUGAUGAGACAUACAUGGGGGCGUGAAGUUUAAACCAACUCCUUUUUCGUUCUCUUCCCAUAUUUUUUUUUCAUUCAAGCUAGCUUUCUAUCUGACAUAGCUGUUCAAUGUAUUUUCCUGUGCUAAUUUCCCAUUUGCAGAAGACAUUCUAGAUUGCUAUAAGCCUGUUACAAGGUAAUGGUCGCAAACACACUCAAGUCGGCUCUUAAUGUACCACCCUAUGAGUGAUUAGGUACCAUAUAUCUAUUAGUUAUCUGUAAAACAUUGGUACAGGAUGUGAAUGGGCUAUCCUGGCGGUUAUGGUAUUUUCAUUUCUUUUUCCACUUUGGCACAUUUUAUGCCUUUUGCCACUGUAGUAGUUUUUUAUUGUGGCUCCCUUAUGAUGAUGCUCGCGGAUAUAACGCUAGUUCUACAUACAGGUAGUAUGAAGCUCAUAUGUGGAAUUUUAAUACUGUUGGAUCCGUUGAGCUCUAAUUCUAUCCGAAUGCUAGGGCAGAUGGUGCUCAGAAGGAAAUGUUGGAGGAACAGUAAGGGGAUACGAUGGGGCAGUCACGUUGCACCGUUAAUUUGGUUCUGUUGUCAUUUCAGUUCUGUUAACAACCCCGGUGUUUACCCCGUAUUUGGAUAAUCAAUUGAAAUUGUAGGUGAGGUAUAGGAUACGCGGUUAUAUCUUGAACUUAUUUGAUAGAGAAAAGAAAUAUAUGGACAUGCUAUAAAGGAGCAAUUGAUGAUCAAAAGUUUGCUGUAGACUCGUGUAUCUACUAAUAUACAAGCGUAUUUGAUUUAAGUAACGCAAGAAACAAACACAACAAAUAUGGAACGAAUCUGAUGUAUGAGAGAGAUUUUGUAUAUAUUUUGCUAUUACAAGGAUUCUUGAUAUGAAGCAGCCAACCCCCCAAGAGGAGGACAAUGCCUCUUAUUUAUAGUAGUGCCCCAUGGGCUUCACACAACAUGAAUAAUAAAAUAAUAAUGAAAAGCUCUGAGUUGGGUUAGGUAGGCCGUACGGUCUGACACCCGUACGAUUGACAGUUGAACAUAGCAGGACGUCAUCGACGCGUGGCAACCGCGCAACGGAUCUCCCGGACCGCCGGCCACGAUCAAACGGACGUACGGCCUCGAACAACCCGGUCAUGAAAGAAC